ncrna:Ornithorhynchus anatinus (platypus) microRNA oan-mir-24 precursor (oan-mir-24-1)
CCCUCCAGUGCCUACUGAGCUGAUAUCAGUUCUCGUUGACCCACUGGCUCAGUUCAGCAGGAACAGGAGUG